rnacentral:rRNA from 1 species
GAUGAACGCUAGCGGGAGGCUUAAUACAUGCAAGUCGAGCGGUAGAUGGCUUCGGCCAUUGAGAGCGGCGAACGGGUGAGUAACACGUACAUGACCUACCUAUCAGAAGGGGAUAGCCCUGGGAAACUGGGAUUAAUACUCUAUAGUAUUAUAAUUGUAAAGAGUUAUAAUUAAAGCUGAGGUGCUGAUAGAUGGAUGUGCGUCUGAUUAGCUAGUUGGUAGGGUAAAGGCCUACCAAGGCGACGAUCAGUAGGGGGCGUGAGAGCGUGACCCCCCACACGGGUACUGAGACACGGACCCGACUCCUACGGGAGGCAGCGGUAAGGAAUAUUGGUCAAUGCCCGCAAGGGUGAACCAGCCUUUCCGCGUGGAGGAUGAAGGCCCUAUGGGUUGUAAACUUCUUCUAGAUGGGAAUAAAAUGAUUGUUGAGACAGUUACUGAAGGUACCAUCAGAAUAAGCACCGGCUAACUCCGUGCCAGCAGCCGCAGUAAUAC